rnacentral:rRNA from 1 species
CCGCCGUCGUCAGCUUACCCUGUGAAGGCCUAACAGUAAGCAAAAUGGGCCCACCCAAAAACGUCAGGUCGAGGUGUAGCGUACGAAGUGGGAAGAAAUGGGCUACAUUUUCUAAAAUAGAAUAUUUACGGACAGCACCCUGAAAACGUGCUAGAAGGUGGAUUUAGUAGUAAAAAGUAAAUAGAGAGUCCUUUUGAAUUAGGCUCUGAGACGCGCACACACCGCCCGUCACUCUCCCCUAACACUAUCAAUUUAUAUAAAUAAUAAUUCAACUAAAAGCACGGGGAGGCAAGUCGUAACAUGGUAAGUGU